AGUGAACGCUGGCGGUAGGCCUAACACAUGCAAGUCGAACGGCAGCACAGUAAGAGCUUGCUCUUACGGGUGGCGAGUGGCGGACGGGUGAGGAAUACAUCGGAAUCUACUUUUUCGUGGGGGAUAACGUAGGGAAACUUACGCUAAUACCGCAUACGACCUACGGGUGAAAGAAGGGGAUCUUCGGACCUUGCGCGAUUGAAUGAGCCGAUGUCGGAUUAGCUAGUUGGCGGGGUAAAGGCCCACCAAGGCGACGAUCCGUAGCUGGUCUGAGAGGAUGAUCAGCCACACUGGAACUGAGACACGGUCCAGACUCCUACGGGAGGCAGCAGUGGGGAAUAUUGGACAAUGGGCGCAAGCCUGAUCCAGCCAUACCGCGUGGGUGAAGAAGGCCUUCGGGUUGUAAAGCCCUUUUGUUGGGAAAGAAAAGCAGCAGGUUAAUACCCCGCUGUUCUGACGGUACCCAAAGAAUAAGCACCGGCUAACUUCGU
rnacentral:rRNA from 1 species